UACGUAGGGGGCAAGCGUUAUCCGGAUUUACUGGGUGUAAAGGGAGCGUAGACGGCAGCGCAAGUCUGGAGUGAAAUGCCGGGGCCCAACCCCGGAACUGCUUUGGAAACUGUGCAGCUCGAGUGCAGGAGAGGUAAGCGGAAUUCCUAGUGUAGCGGUGAAAUGCGUAGAUAUUAGGAGGAACACCAGUGGCGAAGGCGGCUUACUUGACUGUAACUGACGUUGAGGCUCGAAAGCGUGGGGAGCAAACAGG
rnacentral:rRNA from 1 species